UCGGAGUGGGUGGGGCAAAUCCCCCAAAGUGGGCGGGGCCAGCCCAAAAGUGGGCGUGGCCUCAUUGUUAGCCCCUCCCCUUUCCCCCAGGAGCGAUGACGUCAUCCCCGCCCCACGGGAGCCCCGCCCCCUUUCCCAAAUAAAGGCAUUGAUUGGUCGCACUCCUGAAUAUGGAAAUGACGGAGCUUUUAUUGGGGAGGGGCGUGGCCGGGUGGGCGUGGCCAAUGGGCGUGGUCUGGAUGGUGUGGUCAUUGUGGGCGUGGUCAGGGUGGCUGUGGGCGUGGCCAUGAUGGGUGUGGCCACUAUGGGUGUGGUCAGUCUGUGUGUACUAAUUGUGGGCGUGGCCAUGAUGGGUGUGGGCCACUAUGGGUGUGGUCAUUGUGGGCGUGGCUUGGGGUGUGGGAGUGGUCAGUGUGGGUGUGGUCAAUGUGGGCGUGGUCUGGUUGGGUGUGGGCAACAUGGGUGGUCAAUGGGUGUGGUCAUUGUGGUGGGUGUGGCCAAGGUGGGAGUGGCCAUUGUCAGUGUGGUCGUGGCCAAUGGGCGUGGCCUGGGUGGGUGUGGUCAUUGUGGGCAUGGUCUGGGU
rnacentral:lncRNA from 1 species